rnacentral:rRNA from 1 species
CGCUGGCGGCAGGCCUAACACAUGCAAGUCGAGCGGUAGCACAGAGAGCUUGCUCUCGGGUGACGAGCGGCGGACGGGUGAGUAAUGUCUGGGAAACUGCCUGAUGGAGGGGGAUAACUACUGGAAACGGUAGCUAAUACCGCAUAACGUCGCAAGACCAAAGUGGGGGACCUUCGGGCCUCAUGCCAUCAGAUGUGCCCAGAUGGGAUUAGCUAGUAGGUGGGGUAACGGCUCACCUAGGCGACGAUCCCUAGCUGGUCUGAGAGGAUGACCAGCCACACUGGAACUGAGACACGGUCCAGACUCCUACGGGAGGCAGCAGUGGGGAAUAUUGCACAAUGGGCGCAAGCCUGAUGCAGCCAUGCCGCGUGUGUGAAGAAGGCCUUCGGGUUGUAAAGCACUUUCAGCGGGGAGGAAGGCGUUAAGGUUAAUAACCUUGGCGAUUGACGUUACCCGCAGAAGAAGCACCGGCUAACUCCGUGCCAGCAGCCGCGGUAAUACGGAGGGUGCAAGCGUUAAUCGGAAUUACUGGGCGUAAAGCGCACGCAGGCGGUCUGUCAAGUCGGAUGUGAAAUCCCCGGGCUCAACCUGGGAACUGCAUUCGAAACUGGCAGGCUAGAGUCUUGUAGAGGGGGGUAGAAUUCCAGGUGUAGCGGUGAAAUGCGUAGAGAUCUGGAGGAAUACCGGUGGCGAAGGCGGCCCCCUGGACAAAGACUGACGCUCAGGUGCGAAAGCGUGGGGAGCAAACAGGAUUAGAUACCCUGGUAGUCCACGCCGUAAACGAUGUCGAUUUGGAGGUUGUGCCCUUGAGGCGUGGCUUCCGGAGCUAACGCGUUAAAUCGACCGCCUGGGGAGUACGGCCGCAAGGUUAAAACUCAAAUGAAUUGACGGGGGCCCGCACAAGCGGUGGAGCAUGUGGUUUAAUUCGAUGCAACGCGAAGAACCUUACCUGGUCUUGACAUCCACAGAACUUUCCAGAGAUGGAUUGGUGCCUUCGGGAACUGUGAGACAGGUGCUGCAUGGCUGUCGUCAGCUCGUGUUGUGAAAUGUUGGGUUAAGUCCCGCAACGAGCGCAACCCUUAUCCUUUGUUGCCAGCGGUUCGGCCGGGAACUCAAAGGAGACUGCCAGUGAUAAACUGGAGGAAGGUGGGGAUGACGUCAAGUCAUCAUGGCCCUUACGACCAGGGCUACACACGUGCUACAAUGGCAUAUACAAAGAGAAGCGACCUCGCGAGAGCAAGCGGACCUCAUAAAGUAUGUCGUAGUCCGGAUUGGAGUCUGCAACUCGACUCCAUGAAGUCGGAAUCGCUAGUAAUCGUAGAUCAGAAUGCUACGGUGAAUACGUUCCCGGGCCUUGUACACACCGCCCGUCACACCAUGGGAGUGGGUUGCAAAAGAAGUAGGUAGCUUAACCUUCGGGAGGGCGCUUACCACUUUGUGAUUCAUGACUGGGG